AGUCUAGGUGGGAAUUCUGGGAGAUGAAGUCCACAAGUCUUAAAGCUGCCAAGUUUGAAGACACCUGCUCUGGAGCAAGAUGGAAAAGGCUUCAAAUAUAGUACAUUAUUACUCUGCAGGGCCUCGGAUUAAAGUUGACUCAGCCUUCCAUCCUUCCGAGGUAAAGAACAAAACUGAAGAACGAUCCUAUUCCCAAACAUUUCAAGAUAAAGGAAUAUGGAAACUAUGAAGUCAAAGGAUCAAGCCACUCCUGCAAGUGGAGAGACAUGUUACUACCUGAGAUAUUGUGGAGUCUUCAAGAUCAAUUAGCCUUGGUAAAUCUUCUCCAAAUUUAUCCAAUGGUCCCUUCAAACCACCCAAGCUAUUGGCUAUUACAUCAUCUAAUGAAUUCCGCAUUUAAUUAUA